GGAUUGUGGCUCAGAGGUAGAGCGCUCGCCUAGCAAGCGUGAGGCACUGGGUUCGAUCCUUAGCACCA
rnacentral:tRNA from 1 species